rnacentral:rRNA from 1 species
UACGUAGGGUGCUAGCGUUGUUCGGAAUCAUUGGGCGUAAAGCGCGUGUAGGCGGUUAGUUAAGUCGGGUGUGAAAUCCCUGGGCUCAACCGAGGAAGUGCAUCCGAAACUAACUAGCUAGAGAAUGGUAGAGGAAGGUGGAAUUCCGUGUGUAGAGGUGAAAAUUCGUAGAUAUACGGAGGAAUACCGGUGGCGAAGGCGGCCUUCUGGACCAUAACUGACGCUGAGGCACGAAAGCGUGGGUAGCAAACAGG